GAUGAACGCUAGCUACAGGCUUAACACAUGCAAGUCGAGGGGCAGCAUGGUCUUAGCUUGCUAAGGCCGAUGGCGACCGGCGCACGGGUGAGUAACACGUAUCCAACCUGCCGUCUACUCUUGGACAGCCUUCUGAAAGGAAGAUUAAUACAAGAUGGCAUCAUGAGUCCGCAUGUUCACAUGAUUAAAGGUGUUCCGGUAGACGAUGGGGAUGCGUUCCAUUAGAUAGUAGGCGGGGUAACGGCCCACCUAGUCGGCGAUGGAUAGGGGUUCUGAGAGGAAGGUCCCCCACAUUGGAACUGAGACACGGUCCAA
rnacentral:rRNA from 1 species